rnacentral:rRNA from 1 species
AUUGAACGCUGGCGGCAUGCUUUACACAUGCAAGUCGAACGGCAGCACGGACUUCGGUCUGGUGGCGAGUGGCGAACGGGUGAGUAAUACAUCGGAACGUGCCCAGUUGUGGGGGAUAACUACUCGAAAGAGUAGCUAAUACCGCAUGAGAACUGAGGUUGAAAGCAGGGGAUCGUAAGACCUUGCGCAACUGGAGCGGCCGAUGGCAGAUUAGGUAGUUGGUGGGAUAAAAGCUUACCAAGCCGACGAUCUGUAGCUGGUCUGAGAGGACGACCAGCCACACUGGGACUGAGACACGGCCCAGACUCCUACGGGAGGCAGCAGUGGGGAAUUUUGGACAAUGGGCGAAAGCCUGAUCCAGCAAUGCCGCGUGCAGGAUGAAGGCCCUCGGGUUGUAAACUGCUUUUGUACGGAACGAAAAGCUUCGGGUUAAUACCCUGGAGUCAUGACGGUACCGUAAGAAUAAGCACCGGCUAACUACGUGCCAGCCGCCGCCGUAAAAC